CUUUAUUUUCUUUUUUAUCUUAAAACUUUCACCAGAAGGUUCAUUGAACUUGGUCACAACACUCACGAAAAGAGAAAUUUUUCGUUUAUAAAUUUGCUUUACAGGUGACAUUCUUCUUCUCUUUAGCACCUUUGUUUUUACUUUUUCUUUUACUUGGAGUUUCAAUUCAGACGUUCCCCUUCAUACUCCAUUGCACAUAUCUGCACUAGUGUUGUUGGUACCCUCCACCCCCCCCAUUCAUCAGUUAAAUGGGUCACACGCAUCGGCGGAUAGUACCGUUGGCCCACACUAUUAUACUAUCAUAUUUACACACUAUGCACGCACUAGCACCAGCACCAUUGAUAUGUUGGUGGGUGCAUUUUUGUUUUUUUGUAUAGGGGUUUAUAGGUGUAUUGGACUGACGCCAAUUUUUUUUAUUUUUGGGGACCACGCGACUUUUCGGGUACUGUACCUCUUUGGUUAUUUGGGAACACUAUGUACAUAUAUUUUAUUUUUUUUAUUUUUUUUGGAGUUUUAACUAUUUUUCUGGUCAUUCACUUAAUAGCCUGGUUGUGUCGGGCCAGGUGACCUUAGCCACUGGUGGCUACUGGGGACACUUUUGGUUUGAACGCAUUAUUAUUUCUUUUAUGUCAUUCGGUGGGGUUGUUUUUUUAAUUGCGAAUAUUUUUCGUACUAUUAUUUUACGGCUGAUUUCAUUAAUUUUUCUAGAAUUUUUUUCACACACACACACACACACACACCACUAGGGUUUCAAUGGUUUAGCUUUCGAUAUUUUUAUUUCGUUUUAAAUUCACAAUUUAUUUAUCUGGUAUUUUGCACAGAGUUUUUUGUUGAACUUUAGUUUAGUCACAGUUUUGUUCUUUCUUUUUUUUAUAAAUACUUACCUUUUUAUUUCCAUUGAGCGAGUUUCGUCCGUCCCGGUUAAAAUUCCAAAUUUUUUUUCAUUACCUCUUCUUCGUUUUAUCAAGUGCUACACAUUUCAUUCACCAAGAAGUGAGGCCCAUAGGCCCUACCCUAGUUGCGAACGCGUAUGUCAGAGUGCUUAGUAGAGGUUCACACGGCGCGAUAGGGCAUAAAUAGGGUAGGCACACUAGCGGAUGUUAAAAUUUUGGAUAUGAAGAUUAUAAUUUCAUGAGAUUUACUUAAUGUGGCAGAUCAUAACGCUCCCCUGAACAUGUUUUCCAAUAAGUCGGAUGUCGUAGGUGCUAACGUAUGUGAGAUAAAAUGGCCUAGGGAGACUGAGCAGAUUGGUCGAUUAGUUCCCCCAAAUUGGACGAAAGGUUCCACUAGUUGUGCGAUAGAUUGGUUUGCUGGAGUAGGGAUGUCAGUUCAGACAUGCUUUUAGGGAUGUACAUGCACGAGCAACCGGAUUUUCCUAGGAAUACACAGAGAGAAAUCGCACUUUUUCCCUCCCAUCCUUUGAUAGCGAUAUCGGCAGGAUGGUUGGGUUUGUGGUGUGCGGCUUUCCGGCUGUGUUCAUCCCCCUUUACACCAUAUGUAUCGCUAUUGUGAAUGAUUUCGAGCAUACUUGAACAACCCUGGGAAUCAGGUGUUCAGUGAUUGAAACGGGUGGAAGAGGAGGAAAGCCGUCAAGGAAGGACUGGUCGAAAGCCUGCCAUGACGGGAAAUUUGCGAAAGAUGGCCGACUUCCUGGCCGGUUUGCCUUCUCUUGGACCUUGGAAUUGGAGUUGGCUGGAUGCAGAAAAAUCGUGGAAAAUCGAACUUACGAACUACAUAUUAAAUAAUCUGAAAAUAAAGAAAAAAUUACAUCCUAAAAAAAAAAAA